GAACGCUGGCGGUAUGCUUAACACAUGCAAGUCGAACGAAUUAAUCUAGCUUGCUAGAUUAGUUAGUGGCAAACGGGUGAGUAACACGUGGGAAUCUACCCAGUAGUACGGAAUAACAGUCGGAAACAGCUGCUAAUACCGUAUAGUAUCGAGAGAUUAAAGAUUUAUCGCUACUGGAUGAGCCCGCGUCAGAUUAGGUAGUUGGUGGGGUAAUGGCCUACCAAGCCGAAGAUCUGUAGCUGGUCUGAGAGGAUGAUCAGCCACACUGGAACUGAGACACGGUCCAGACUCCUACGGGAGGCAGCAGUGAGGAAUAUUGGACAAUGGGCGAAAGCCUGAUCCAGCAAUACCGCGUGAGUGAAGAAGGC
rnacentral:rRNA from 1 species